rnacentral:lncRNA from 1 species
AUAAUCUCCGGUAAAUUAUGUACAUACCAGGGGUUUUUUUAACCUCUGAUAAGUCUCGAGGGUUUUUUAAUAAACCGUUGGAGAGUUUUUGAUUUUUCAUUAUGGAGAUUCGUCUUAUAUCUGCAAGUUUUAAAGCUCUGUUAAAAUUGACACGAAAUAAAGGGUUAAAGAGUAAAAGUGUGGUGUGAAGAGUGUGUGUUCUUUGCGCACCGCAUCAACAACAAUUUAUCAAGCUGCAAUUGGACAUUAGAAAAAACCCAAAACGACGCUCGAUUUUUCUGUUUCUAUGUCACGAUUCAUGCACAACGCACUUAUGGAACAGUUUCAUGCUUCAGUGCUUCUCUCUUGCUUUUUGUACUGGUAUGGAUCAGACCGAGCUGAUCGAGAUUCGGUCUCCCUAAUCGAGAGGACUGAGAUCCCAUGGAUGACCUAGCCGACCAACACACUUAACCAUUAACACUCAAAUUAAGGUCAGUGAAGCUAAACUACCAUUAAGAAUUAGGUAAUGCAAUCAUAAGUGUGAUUCAUUCUACCAAUCGGAUCCAAUAAGGUAAGUCCAUUAAAAUAAUAUAAAUAGCGCAUAUUUCAAAAAGAAAAAUACGUCAUUCAUUAUUACUGUACACACCGAGUGCCGAAUAUCUUUUUCACUAACUUUAGCGUCGGAGUGCCUUCUGCAGAUACCUCCCCCAUUUGACAUUCACUCGAUACUGAGAGUCGAAAGAAUAGCACGAAGACCAGAAGAAUCACAAAGAAGCCUUAACAACCUGCCUGAAGGAAGGAGAAAGAUGAAGCCUUUAAUAGUUCUCUAAGUCACAUCUCCCUAACAGGAACACUUUUGUUUUUUUAUUUUGCUCCACAUUCCUCCCAUUUUCCUUUCUCUUCUUUUUCUCUUGUCGUUUCAAGGCCGGCACAAGCUCCAAAGUAGAAGCUUAGCUUGGAUCAUACUAGGGUUUUAGCUUCUUUUCUUCACCUGUUUCUUAUUGCACCUCCAUAGUUUCUCUUACCACCUCCAUAGAUUGGGCGAAAAAACCAUUUUAUUCUUAAUAAAAUUAUUCCAAAUUUUAUAAUUUUGAAAUGUACAUAUUAUUUUUAGCUUUCUGGUCCUACAUACAAACAUGGAUAAGCCCAUAGUUGCAUUUUUUUAAUUAAAAUAAAUAUAUGGUUUUGUUA